CCGACUUUCGAGGCAAAUGAUCGUCACCAUGCAUAAAACCAAUCAGGCGUUCGGCCCUGCUCAGGAACGAGCUGGUCGGUGGGCCGGACGCCAGGUUCUUUUUCUUUACCUCCACGCCCAAUCCCUGCAAAAAUUUGAACAGCUACUUCCAGG